rnacentral:lncRNA from 1 species
UCAAUUCUUGAAGUGCCCUUUUUUGUUUUUCGAAUUUCUUGGUUAGGAUGUCUUCUUCUGGGAGAGAGUCCGGAGAUGAGAACUUUGUGAGAGACCAAGGUUCUCAAGCUCUAACUAUAUGGGAGAGGAUCGAGGAUGUUCUUCGAGAUGCUCACAAGGAUAUUCGAUAGGACCGCUUUGGUUCUCAUGGGUUGGAUGAUCAGCUGACUAUCGA